rnacentral:rRNA from 1 species
UACGGGGGGGGCAAGCGUUGUUCGGAAUUACUGGGCGUAAAGGGCUCGUAGGCGGCCAACUAAGUCAGACGUGAAAUCCCCAGGCUUAACCUGGGAACUGCGUCUGAUACUGGAUGGCUUGAGAUUGGGAGAGGGAUGCGGAAUUCCAGGUGUAGCGGUGAAAUGCGUAGAUAUCAGGAGGAACACCGGUGGCGAAGGCGGAUCUCUGGGCCUUACCUGACGCUCAGGCGCGAAAGCUAGGGGAGCGAACAGG